rnacentral:lncRNA from 1 species
GAAUCUUGUUCCAUAUGCACUUGUACCAUAAUCUUUCUGAAUUAUACUACUAUUUACUUUAUGCAUUUUUUGAAAUAUUGACAACUUCCAUCCCAGGAAAGUCUUAAUCCUAUACAAAAUAUAAUAAUCUGGUAUUAUAUAAUGCCAAUGUAAUGAACUUCAUAGGAAAAAAAACAUCGUAAAGGAUGCUCUGGUGGAAUCAGUGGAAUUGUGUUGAAUUGUGGAGCCACUAUGGUGGUUCUGCCCCAGACGCCUGAUGGACCCUGAGAGGUUUCAGACGGCCCUGGGGUUCUUGCCCACCUCCCUCGACCACAGCCCGGCUGAGACCUUGGUGGCCGCCUGGCAGCAGGCAGCCUUGGCAGCGCUCGACCAGGUUGUCCCCUUGCGGCCUCUUCCUCACUGUAGACCCUGGUUGGCCCCUUGGUUUUCUGAGGAGCUCCGGGGGAUGAAGCGGCAGAAAAGAUGCCUGGAGAGCAGGUGGAGGACCAGCCGUUCUGAGUCUGACCGUGUCCAGCUAAGAGCCUAUAUUAGGACUUACCUGGAAGCGAUUAGAGCAGAGAGGUGUGCUUACUUCUCUGCUCUGAUCGUGUCCGCAGAUGAUCGCCCUGCCACCCUGUUUAGGGUCACUCGCUCCCUUCUUCAUUUGGAGGAGAGGGGGGACCCUCUGCAGGGCAGAGCAGAGGAAUUUAGUUUACAUCUGGCAGAUAAGAUCGCUCAGAUUUGGGCCGGCUUGGACUCUGACUGGCAGGGUGCGGAUGAUGGGGUGACGACGAGUCUGGCUGAUUCUAUCUGGGUUGAAUUUGACCCUGUCUCCCUGGAUGAAGUGGACAGGAUCAUGCGGAAGUUGUCUUCCACCAUGUGUUUAUUGGACCCGUGUCCUUCCUGGUUGGUUUAUGCCUCCAGGGAGGUUACACGUGGUUGGCUCCAGGCAGUUGUCAACGCCUCUUUGAGUGAGGGGUUUUUUCCCGCUGCCUUGAAAGAGGCGGUGGUCAGACCCAUCCUCAAGAAGCCUGCUCUGGAUCCAACCGUUUUAAACAACUAUCUUCCAGUCUCCAACCUUCGCUUUUUAGCGAAGGUUGUUGAGACCAUGGUGGUUCAGCAACUUCCGUUGUUCCUGGAGGAAACUGAUUAUCUAGACCUGUAUCAAUCGGGCUUCAGGCCUGGACACAGCAUGGAGACAGCAUUGGUCGCACUGAUGGAUGAUCUCUGGCGGGCUCGGGACAGGGGUUUUUC